CUCGCGUGGCGCCGAAUCAGGGGCGCGCCCCUGAAAGGGGGCGGGCUGAGACUCAGGCGCCGGCUGCGAGGUUUCCUCUGCCUGGCGCCUUCCGCCUUUGUUUACUAGGUGGGGCGCUUCAAAACUGGUCACGUUGCUAAUUCCCUGUCACUCGGGGAGGCCAGGGACUGCCAGGUGGACUCCAAGGCCUGAUUUUCCCUGUCUUCACAGAGAAGAGCGAUGUUGCCUCCAAGUGCGGCCCCGGAUCCUGGCAGGGCUAGCCGGUGCCUCUGGACUAGGCCUUGGUGUUCGUCGUCCGUUCCCUCCCUGACUGUGUGCUCUAGCUCCGUAGUCCGUGACUUCUUCCUGCUUGAUUGCUGAACUGCAAGUGGCCACGUUACAAAAGGAAGAACUAAGUGUUUGCGAAAGCUGAUGCCCCAGAAGGCACAGGUUACCUGUUGGUGGACGUUGAGGUUGCCUCCAGUUUGGGCUAUUACAAAUAAAACUAUGUAAAAGGCUCUGUGUGGACAUGUGCAUUCACUUUUCUUGGCUCCAUAUGGCAUUAACAGCUGGUGAGCUACUGGAGAAGAUGGAUGGUUGGAUUGUCUCCAGAUGACUAGCCCCUGGUGCAGCCUAGCCCAAUCAUUUUGGCAUAUUUUCACAAACUCUACUCUUCAAAUUUGCAUUUCAAAGUAUGGGCGCUUUGCUUCAAGUUAUCUGCAUCAAGCUGUGUGAUCAUGGCAGCUUAACAUCUGUGUGCCUCAAUUUCCUCAUCUUAAAAAUGGGGACCUGUUGAUUGAUACCUGCUUCUCAUAGUGAUGAGUAUUAAACGCAAAAUGAAUGCAAAGCCUUUA